rnacentral:rRNA from 1 species
CCAGGAGUGUAAGGCGGGCAACCGCUUGAGCGGACUGGUACUAAUCGGCCGAGGGCUUGACCUA